UACGGGGGGAGCAAGCGUUGUUCGGAUUUACUGGGCGUAAAGGGCGCGUAGGCGGUCAGCACAAGUCAGUUGUGAAAUCUCCGGGCUUAACCCGGAAAGGUCAACUGAUACUGUGCGACUAGAGUGCGGUAGGGGAGACUGGAAUUCCUGGUGUAGCGGUGAAAUGCGCAGAUAUCAGGAGGAACACCGGUGGCGAAGGCGGGUCUCUGGGCCGAUACUGACGCUGAGGAGCGAAAGCGUGGG
rnacentral:rRNA from 1 species